AUAGUUAUUUUGGACAUGCCAUACCCAGGGUAGGCUCAGUAACUUCUCCAGGAUUCUUGUUAAUUUGUUAAAUGGGCUUAAAAAGGAGUUAAAUGUAAAUUUCAGCUCCAUAAAACAGUCACAUUUCAAAUGCUCAUGAUCCAAGUUAAGUAAUUAAAAAAUUGCAUAAAAUAGUACUCCUACCACAAGUACAGCAAAUAUUCAAUGUUUGUUCUGCUCAGACAGCUGUAGGUUAACAUUAUGAGAUGGAACUGUGAAGAACAGUGCUUUGACUCCAGCUUGGGCAUUGACAGAAAGGAGAGCAUUGACAGUUUGUAUAUUUAGAAUAUUGAUUACUGCUCUUGACCUUACUCCUCCAUGACAACUUGGGGAGAACUUUGAAAAAUUAUCGGAACUAAGGAAGAAUUCUCUUAAUCCCACAAUUUAUCUUUUGGAUAUUGCCAUUAAUGCUCUGGUGCAUUUUCUCCCAUCUUCUCAAGGCAAAAAAAGAAAAAAGAGAAAAACCAGUAUGUUUUUGUAUUAUGAAUCUUCUAUACUAUUUUUUCAUGGCAUGCCUCUUGUUUAUGUAGUAUAUUGAUUUAGGAUUAUACUUUGUAACUUAUGUGAUUUUGUGGUCCACAAAGUAUAAUCAUAAGUCACAUAUAAUCAAAAUCAUGUAUCUUUGUAUAGAACAACUCCUUAGUAUCUCUAACUACUUCUUUACUGUGUAUCUGAGAAUAGAAUUUUUGAGUUAAAGACUAUGGAUAUUCUGUGUGUGUGUGUGUG